rnacentral:lncRNA from 1 species
AUAUCUUUGUCUUAUGUUUCUUGUUUAUUUAACUUCGUGCCUAAGCCAAAAAACAAAUUGGGACAGAGAGAAUAUCAAAGUUUAAAUAUUGAAAUUGUUAGAAAUGGGAUAAAAAUGACAUGUUGUCAAUAUCCAAAUGGGUAGGAGUGUCGUACAAACUACGCCUAAACGAAAUAAGCAAUUAUACAUACGAGCAAUUCAGCAGCGAAAUGGGGUUGGCGGAGGGGUUUGAGGAGGAGCAGACAAAGGCGGGUGACGAAUAGAACAAUAGCAAGUUGAAAGAUAAAGAUUGGGAGUUUGGAAUCCAAAGGGUUGAUUUCUUCCCAAAUGCCAUUGUCGGUAACCGUAUCUGUCAUAUAACACAAUUUGUCAACACCCGCCACUGGUUUCCCUCGGACAUUAUACGAUGGAAUAUCUGGGGUCUUCAAGAAAUUCGGAUUAACCAUUUUGCUUUAGAUCUCCCGGGGAGGCACUCUGGCGACAAUUGAAGCUGCCACCUUUUGGCCGUUUUCGGUGCAUAAAACGGAAAAGAAAAGCUGAGAAAAAAUGUUGAGACGUGAGAAAAUCUCCUUAGAUCAUGCAUGAUUGAUUUUUCUCAGAAAACGUACAAAUGGAUGGAUUGCCGUUCUGCAUGGGUUUCAUUAGUUGAUCCAAAAUGAGCGUGAAGGAAAUGAAAUAAAAGGAAGAAAAAACAAAAAGAGGAGGAAAAGGUGAUGAUGUGGCAUGCUUUACUCCAUUAUUUUUUUUACUUUUCUUCUAUUUCCAAAAGGAAAGUAUAUACGUUUAAAAUCGGUCAUCGAUCAUGAAGAUCGAUCGACGAUGGCAUCUCAGUCAAGGGGUAUCUACAUGGAGAGCUCGAACGAAUUCCGAGAUUGGGGCGUCGAGCGUCGGGGCGUCCGAAUCGACUGAGGCAACAUCGACCGACACAGGUCCCGAACAUCGAUGCCCGAAAGUGAUCAUCAAGCUCGAAACCAAGGCCGAGGUUCCGAUCUGACACCGAGCUCGAGUCAGUAUCGAGUUCGCAGACAAAAAGCUGUUACAACCGCACCAAAGGAGAGAAUCUUGGCGGGAAUUAAAGAGGAGACACACCAUCAUGAGUCCUCCACUAGUAAUAUUAUUCUAUUAUGUUGUUAUAGAAAAAGUAGUGAUCUUUGGCUAUAAAAAGGAAGAUAGAUUGUAAUAGAAGGGAUCUUCUCUAGAAUAUCAAGAAUUCAUUGUGUUUAUCUUUCUAAGCUCACUAAGUAUCUUUGUUCAUCAUUUCUAUUUCACAUAACAAAUACGUGUAUUGUUAUCUUCAGGUCAAAGGAAUCUACCUAUCCUUAGAACCAUACACAAAUUCAGCGUUAUCCGAUUUUCGGGUAAAAAGAAAGAUGUAACGGUUGUAACUCUCCUUUUUAUUUGAAUCAGUUCAACACUUCACAUUCAUUUUGCAUGAAUAGGUGUACCCCUUUUCAUUUUUCAUACUGAUCAAAUGAAUAUUAACUUCACUGAGGGGAAAUGCUAGGACUUUUACCAAUACCACAUGCAAAUAAUUGAUCCAAUGCACUAUAUUAUAUCUGCUUUUUACUCCAGAUUUUUCUUACUGGUAAAAUUAAUUGUUAUUGUUAUCCGCUUUGACAGUUGACCAAAAUUAGGUGAUCAUAUAGCAUAGAAAUUCUUUUUUUUGUUGAGUAUAUCAGGUUUGUUUUCCUUUGUAAUCGAGAAAGUUUGCCUGAUUUAUUGCAAUUAAAAAUGCUCAUUUCUUCUCUUUUGUAUUCUCUUUCACUUUGAGGAAUGGUGAGGAAAGAACAUAAACAAAGGAGACAUCACAAAAACUUGCGGAAGUGAUGCAAUGAAAUUAGAGAAGCAGAAUCGUCACAAGAGUUAUAACCUGCCUUCUUUUUCUGGUAAGAACUCUUCCCACUUUUGAUUAUUUGGAUUUAUGAGCAUGAACAUAAUCAAAAUAACAAUUAUAUAUUCCAUUUUAUCUAUAAGUUAAAGAGCUCAUUUUGCUUGAAAAAUGAAGAAACAAAUAAGAGAUAAUAUGAACACACAUGAUUAAAGCACACAGCGCUCUUUAGGUGAUUUUUAUUGCUUUUGCGAAUCAAAUAUGAAAGAAAAAGAGUACAUAAAGCUAAGUAUUAAUUUAUACUGGUCCUUCUAUAAAAAUUACCAAAAUUUGACCUCUUCUUUUGUAUUCUCAUUCGGCAUAUCCUUCUUUUUCAGGGAAAUACAUAUCCUUCUCUCUUAGGGAAAUACAAAGAUAUCUUUUAUAAAAAGGUAUAUUGAAACUAAAACUUAUAAUAAUUUUUAUAUAUUUACUAUUUCUUCCUGUUAGAAUAAAUUGCGAGGUGGGAAUAACAAAUUGUGUACCUUUAUAAUGCAGCACAGAUCUUUGAACUCACCAUCGAAGAAUAAGUUGCUCCAUGUCAAACAUCGAUUCAGUAAACAGAGUUAGUAUCUCACAAACUAGAUGUGUUUAUUGUGUGUGUUUUUGGGAGGUAAAGCCAGAGAAAUCUUAUACAUGUAGAAAGGUAUAACGACCCGACCAGUUAUUUUGAGCGUUAGCGUUCCUAUCAAUUGUUCGAGGUCUUGAGUAGCUUUAUAUUGUGUAUUAUGACUUGCGUUUAUGGUCGGAUUCAAUUUUCGGAUGUUUCGGACUUUAUUUGGAUGAGUGGUUAUUAUUUUAGAAGCUUAAGUUGGAAAUGUUGAUCGAGAUUUGACUUUUGUAAAAAUAACCCCGGAACAGUAUUUUUAUGGCUCCGAUAGGUUUGUGUUUUGAUUUUAGAAUUGGGCAUAUACCCGAAACUGAAUUCGGAGGUCCCUGGUUGAUUUGGCUUGUUUUGCCGAAAGUUGGCAAUUUAAAGGUUUAAUUUUUUUAUGUCUAACUAUGGUUUGACUUUAUGACUAUCAUGUUCGGAUUUCAGUUUUGGGAGUUAGAAUAGGUACGUUUUGUUAUUUGAAACUUGUUUGUAAAGUUUUGCGUCAUUCCGAUUUGAUUUGAUAGAAAUCGGACGAGUGGUUGUGUUUUUAGAAGUUCUUGAGUUUCAAUUAAAAUUUCAUGCAUUUUGAUGUCUGAUUCACGGUUCUAGAUGUUAUUUUGGUAUUUUGAUAGCGUGAGCGAGUUCAUAUGAUAUUUGUAGACUUGUGUGGAUGUUUGGUUUGGAGCCCCGAGGGUUCGGGUGAGUUUCUGAUGCGUUUCGGAGUGUUUGGAAGAGUUGCAGUUUUGCUAGUUUUUGAAUAGGUGCUGCAGGUCUCACAAAUGCGAGAUUUUGUUCGCAUUUGCGACCUCCACAUUUGCGAGGUGGGAGUCUCAUUUGUGAAGCUCACUAGGUGUGUUAGGUUCCAUUAGCGAAUAUUUUGUUUUCUUUUGUGAUUGGGGUCUGGGCUAGGUAGGAACGCAAUUGCGAUCAUUUGGUCGUUUUUGCGAAAUGUUCAAUGUUCGCAUUUGCGACAUUAGCAGGGCUAUGAUGGAUGUCGCUUUUGUGAUCAUUUUUUGCAUUUGAGGGGUUCACAUUUGCGAACCCUAAGUCGCAUUUGCGACACCUGCUCUAGAACAUUAAGGCUGCAAGACGGGAUUUUGGUCUCAUUUUUCAUAUCUUGAACCCUACACUCGGUAGGAGGCGAUUUGGAGAGUGUAUUUUCAUCUACAAUCAUUGAGUAAGUGAUUUUCAAAAAUUUAUAAUUAUAUUACAUGAUUAUAUAUGAGAUUUAACAUCAAAAAUUUGAGAAUCAAAGUGAAAUUUUGGAAAACCUUUGUCUAUGUUUUGAAAAAUAAAAAUUUGGGAUUUGAGUGUGGAAUGGGACUCGGAUUUUGAAGAAAAAUACAUAUAUAGACUCGUGGGAUUAUGGGUAGUCGAUACCUACCCUUGGACCCGGGUGUUGACCGGGCGGGCCCAACGUUGAUUUUUGUUGACUUUUGAGGAAUUGUAUAAAGAUCUUAGCUUUACUUAUUGGAAUUGGUUUCUCUUGCAUUAUUUGAUGUUAUUAAGUCGAUUUUUAUUAGAUUUGAGCCGAGCGAAGGUGAAUUGUAAAGGAAAAGCUAUUUUUGAGUGUUGAUUUGGCCUAGUUGAGGUAUGUUUCUUGCCUAAUUUUGUGUGGGAGAACUAACCCAUAGGGAUUGGUUUGAUUGCACUAUUUGAAUUACGUGAAAGAUGUGUAUACGAGAUGAUGAGUGUGUACACGAUUUUAUAUGUGGAAAUUUGACCUGUUUAGAUUUUUAGGUUUCUUAUGUACAUUAAAUUGAAGUUUCCAUAUCAUGUUAUAUCCUCAAUUGUUAACUUUACUCUUACAUGCUUUUAUUGAAGUUGUUAGUAUAUGUUAUAUCUCUUAUUGCCAAAUAUACUUUUAUAUGCUUUAAUUGAAAUUGUUGCUUCUUUUAUUGUCAUGUUAUCUCUUCCAUUGUUGAUUUAUUCUUAUUUGAAGUCGUUCCCACAUGUUAUCUCUUUUAUUGUUGAGUUAUUCUUAUUUGAAGUCAUUAUUACUUGUUAUCUUUGUCGUUGUUGAGCUUAUUCUUCUGCUACAUUGUGUUGUUGAAAUUCUUAUGUUGAUUACUUAUCGUACUCUCGUGUUAUUAUCAUUGUUGUUGUACUCAGUGUUGUUGAACUAUGAGCUAUGCGUGGUUGUGGUAUUGGAAUUGUUGUUAUGGAAAUAGUGUGGCAUACGAGCACAUGUGGCGCGAGUUGUUAUAUUGUGUUGUAAUAUUUCUUUUGGCUCAUGUGGAAUUGUUGAGAGGAUUGUCAGGGUGUUUGCACGUGAUUUGACAAUGCUAUUGUUAUUCUUGAUAUUUUCACAUGCGGCGAGACAAGGCAGGCUAUAUAUGUUGGGUUUGCGCAUGUGGCGAGACAAGAUGGGAUAAUUACUAUGCGUAUGUGGCGAGACAAUGGGGCUAUGUCGGGAAUGAUAUGUGAUGGCCUAGGGGUAUUGUUAUUGAUGAUAUUUGUGUGGUGGUGUGACCUUCUUGUGUGCGUCAUGCAUAUUACGGAUUUUGUUAUGUUGUUUCCAAUGUGCUACUCGGUGUCUCUGAUUUUACCUGUUGACUUGAACUGUGAUAGUACACUUGCACAAACAUACACCGUAACAUGCCACUUAUAUCAGUCCAAGAGUAUGAAUCUUGAUGUUUAUUGAUCAUGUACAUAAAUUCUUGUAUACCUUCCUUCUAUGUGUGGAUUGAACUGUUGGCACGUGAGUUGUCCGUGCGGAUAUGAGGUAUUGUUACAAUCGGCACAUGAGUUGUCCGUACGAAUAUGAGGUAUUGUUACCAUUGGUACGUGAGUUGUCCAUGCAGAUCUGAGGCAUUAAUGGUUAUUGGCACGUGAGUGGCCAGUGCAUCACGUGAGUUGUCCGUGCAGUUGUGAUUGGUAAUGUGGGUAAGAGAUUCUAUGUGAUUAUGAUUUAUGAUUUGGGACCUGUGACUUGUGAUUAUGAGGUGUAGUACCCGGUGGUGAUUCUUAUGUAAACCUUGUGGAAGAACGAUUGAUUAUUUGGUUGUCAUUUGUUUUACUUAAUUGAGUUCAAUAAGACUUUAACUGUGUUAUGAUUACUUUGCGGUGUUAUAACCUGUUUACUCCUCGUUGUUGUUUGUUGCUUCUACUUUCCAUUUGCUAGUGUCAUAUUGUUAUUCAUUCCAUGCUUAGUUUAUAUUGAUAUUCGUUCCUCUGUUAGUUUAUACUAAUACUUGCACAAGUUAUUAUGUCUAGUAGGUGUCUCGACUGUACCUCGUCGCUACUCCACCGAGGUUACUCUUGAUACUUACUGGGUACCGUUGUGAUGUACUCAUGCUACGCUUCUGCAUAUCUUUUGUGCAGAUACAGGUACCUCUGAGC